rnacentral:rRNA from 1 species
UGAGGAAUAUUGGGCAAUGCCCGCAAGGGUGACCCAGCAACGCCGCGUGGAGGAUGAAUGUCGUAAGAUUGUAAACUCCUGUUAGAGGGGAAGAAUAGUACCGGUUGGACCGGUAUAUGACUGUACCCUCAGAGAAAGCCCCGGCUAACUACGUGCCAGCAGCCGCGGUAAUACGUAGGGGGCAAGCGUUGUCCGGAUUUACUGGGUGUAAAGGGCGCGCAGGCGGGAUAAAAAGUCAGUGGUGAAAUCCUACAGCUUAACUGUAGAACUGCCUUUGAUACUUUUAGUCUUGAGUUCGGGAGAGAGAGACGGAAUUCCAGGUGUAGUGGUGAAAUACGUAGAUAUCUGGAAGAACCCCAGUUGCGAAGGCGGUCUCUUGGUCCGACACUGACGCUGAGGCGCGAAAGCGUGGGGAGCAAACA